rnacentral:tRNA from 1 species
GGCUCCAUAGCUCAGUGGUUAGAGCACUGGUCCUAAAAGGGGUCGCGAGUUCAAUUCUCGCUGGGGCCU